rnacentral:misc_RNA from 1 species
GAUGAAGAACGUAGCGAAAUGCGAUAAGUAAUGUGAAUUGCAGAAUUCAGUGAAUCAUCGAAUCUUUGAACGCACAUUGCGCCCCCUGGUAUUCCGGGGGGCAUGCCUGUCCGAGCGUCAUUACAACCCUCAAGCUCAGCUUGGUAUUGGGCCCCGCCAACCCGGCGGGCCCUAAAGUCAGUGGCGGUGCCGUCCGGCUCCGAGCGUAGUAAUUCUUCUCGCUCUGGAGGUCCGGUCGUGUGCUCGCCAGCAACCCCCAAUUUUUUUCAGGUUGACCUCGGAUCAGGUAGGGAUACCCGCUGAACUUAAGCAUAUCAAUAAGCGGAGGA